GACGAACGCUGGCGGCGUGCUUAACACAUGCAAGUCGAACGAAGUGGCGCACGGGUGAGUAACGCGUAAUCAACCUGCCCUUCAGAGGGGAACAACAGUUUGAAACGACUGCUACUGCCGCAUCCUUUAGGUGGGGGUUACGUCUGAUUAGCUAGUUGGAGGGGUAACGGCCCCACAAGGAGAUGAUCAGUAGCCGGUCUGAGAGGAUGAACGGCCACAGUGGGACUGAGACACGGCCCAGACUCCUACGGGAGGCAGCAGGGGGGAAUCUUCCGAAAUUGAGGAAAGUCGGACGGAGCAACGCCGCGUGAGUGAUGACGGCCUUCGGGUUGUAAAGCUCUGUUAAUCGGGACGCGGUACCGGAAGAGAAAGCCACGGCUAACUACGUGCCAGCCGCCGCGGUAAUAC
rnacentral:rRNA from 1 species